CAGGAUCAAUUGAAGUGUGGAGUUGUGACAUUCUUGUUCGUAGAUUUGAGAAAGCUGGCUCCUGUGAUGCUCAUAAUCAUGUAGUUUAGCUUGGGCUUUUGGUGGACGUUGCCUAUACAGCUGCAGCCAGGACAACUCAACCCGCUGUUGGAUUUUACAUGAAAAUUCCCUGUGUGAAGUACCUAUCCCUUCCAAUACUACUGGUGUGAAAGGCUCUGGCGAUGUACGCACAUGUAUCUUGGUUUCAUGCAUCUCUAUCACAUGCUGUUUCCUUUAAAAUAAAAAAUUCU